UACGUAGGGGGCAAGCGUUGUCCGGAAUCAUUGGGCGUAAAGAGCGUGUAGGCGGCCCGGUAAGUCCGCUGUGAGAUUCCAGGGCUCAACCCUGGGAUGCCGGUGGAUACUGUCGGGCUCGAGUCCGGAAGAGGAGUGUGGAAUUCCUGGUGUAGCGGUGAAAUGCGCAGAUAUCAGGAGGAACACCAAUGGCGAAGGCAGCACUCUGGGACGUGACUGACGCUGAGACGCGAAAGCGUGGGGAGCAAACAGG
rnacentral:rRNA from 1 species